rnacentral:misc_RNA from 1 species
CCAUGCCGGCCGCGCCAAGAACCAGAAUAUGCAAAGCCUUCGCCCCUUCCUUGAAGUUUCUUUUGGAGUUUCUUCUUGAUGUCGAGGUCUAUUCCUUGACCGCGCCGGUCAUGGCGGACACGUAGUGCUCCACGAAGAACGCGUAAAGANAGAGAAUGACCAGCGGCAGCGAACCGACCAGCGCACCCGCCAUCAGCGAUCCCCAUUUGUANCCGUCGACGAAUUCGUUGACGAUGGCGACGGGGACCGUCUUGUUCUGUGUCGAGGACAGAA